rnacentral:misc_RNA from 1 species
AAUACAUUAUGCAGCUUUUAGUUUAGUUCUUCUUCUUCUCCUGCCGACAAACUUGAGGACUUCAUCAAUAAGAAUAACAGGUGCAGAAAGCAAGAUGACUAGAAGCCAUUCAUAAAGGCUUAGUGGGACAAUACCAAAUAUAUCUGCUAGGAAAGGAACAUAGAGUAUCACGCUAUGUAGGGCAAACGAGAGUGACAUUGCAACAAGAAGCCAAG